GAUGAACGCUGGCGGCGUGCCUAACACAUGCAAGUCGAACGGGACCCCUUGAACGGAGGCUUCGGCCGAAGGGAGAGGACGUCUAGUGGCGGACGGGUGAGUAACGCGUGAGCAACCUGCCUAUCGGAGGGGGACAACAGCUGGAAACGGCUGCUAAUACCGCAUAAUGUACGUUGGUCGCAUGGCUAAUGUACCAAAGAUUUAUCGCCGAUAGAUGGGCUCGCGUCUGAUUAGUUUGUUGGUGGGGUAAUGGCCUACCAAGACUGCGAUCAGUAGCCGGACUGAGAGGUUGAACGGCCACAUUGGGACUGAGAUACGGCCCAGACUCCUACGGGAGGCAGCAGUGGGGAAUAUUGGGCAAUGGGGGCAACCCUGACCCAGCAACGCCGCGUGAAGGAAGAAGGCCUUCGGGUUGUAAACUUCUUUGACAGGGGAAGAAACAAAUGACGGUACCCUGAAAACAAGCCACGGCUAACUACGUGCCAGCAGCCGCGGUAAUACGUAGGUGGCAAGCGUUAUCCGGAUUUACUGGGUGUAAAGGGCGUGUAGGCGGGACUGCAAGUCAGGCGUGCAAUGUAUGGGCUUAACCCAUGCACUGCGCUUGAAACUGUGGUUCUUGAGUGAUGGAGAGGCAGGCGGAAUUCCUAGUGUAGCGGUGAAAUGCGUAGAUAUUAGGAGGAACACCAGUGGCGAAGGCGGCCUGCUGGACAUUAACUGACGCUGAGGCGCGAAAGCGUGGGGAGCAAACAGGAUUAGAUACCCUGGUAGUCCACGCUGUAAACGAUGAAUACUAGGUGUGGGGGGACUGACCCCUUCCGUGCCGGAGUUAACACAAUAAGUAUUCCACCUGGGGAGUACGUUCGCAAGAAUAAAACUCAAAGGAAUUGACGGGGGCCCCGCACAAGCAGUGGGAUUAUGUGGUUUAAUUCGAAGCAACGCGAAGAACCCUUACCAGGGCUUGACAUGGAGACG
rnacentral:rRNA from 1 species